CAGUCGCGUCGGCUGGAAAUCAACCUUGCUUUUGCUGGGUGUACUUUCUAGUUGACGGGCCAGCAUCAGUUUUGACCGGUGGAAAAAGUCCAAGGGAAUGUGGCACCUUCGGGUGUGUUAUAGCCCUUGGUCGUAUACAUCGGUUGGGACUGAGGAACUCAGCACGCCGCAAGGCCGGUCUUCGGACACGUUCGUGCUUAGGAUGCUGGCAUAAUGGCUUUAAUCGACCCGUCUUGAAACACGGACCAAGGAGUCUAACAUAUAUGCGAGUGUU
rnacentral:rRNA from 1 species